rnacentral:tRNA from 1 species
GCGGACAUGGCGGAAUGGCAGACGCGCCAUCUUGAGGGGGUGGUGCCCGAACGGGUGUGUGGGUUCAAAUCCCAUUGUCCGCA